CGCUGACCACAGUCCAGACUGUCCCAGAGGUGGGACCACGUGGCCUGACACAACCUCCUGUCUCCUUCAUUUCCCCCGCAGCCUUAUAAUUAGCCCUGCUAAGAGUGGAAGAACCCGAGCAGGUGUCUGUAUCCUGAAACGGAGAAGAAUCUAAUUCUCGUAGAAGUGCCACAGAAGGAAGCCGUCGAAUGGAUUCUGACUGCUCCUUGCUUCCCUAAAGGAGGGCUGGUAGCUACUCUUCUGUGACUGGUAGGGAGGCUUAGUCCCACUUCUCCUCUGCUUUCCGGUCUCCGCCAGGGACGCUGCGAGAGCCAGAUACAGUAAACUUCGCAGCAAGCCUGGCGGUAUUCAUUCCACAGAAGAAUCCUGUCCUUCCAACUACUUCUCACAAAAUCGCCAGUUUAAAAAAAUCACUUCGGGUUUUGUUAAGGAGAGAAACUCCAGGGACCUAACCUCCACAGGGGUCAGUGCCCGGGCCCUGUGGCAGCACCUGGAAGAGACGGGCUCAUACUGGAGUGCGCCUCCCCUCACACAGAAGCUGCUGCUGAACGGAGUGUCAUGCACUGAGAGGGAGAAAAUCUGAAUUACAUCCCACAGGAAAUUGACUAGGCAUCAAGACAAGAAAUGGAUGCAGGUUCAACAGCAGGACAUGUGUAGGGUCCAUCGUCGGUCACUGGUCACCAUAUGGCUCAGAAAAGCGUCCACCCUACCUUCAUUAUCACACGUCUCACUGCUUUCUGAUGGCGUGUGCUGUGGGUACGUGCAUGUGCCACACCCCUGCCCAGCUGGCCAGGACCUGGGGGGCUCCUGCAGGUGGGGCCACGUCUGCUCAGGUGUGCAUCCUCCCCAUCCCACACCACGCCGCCCAUGUUAAGCCUCCAUAAAAUUGGUCUACUAAAAGGUGAAAGAGACUGCUCCGUUUCUCCCAGCUGGAUCUUCAUGAACCAAACGGCAACUCAGAAACGCUGACAUGCAACCAGGAUCUGGUCUGUACCAGCGCCCCCAAGCCUCUACCCUUCGGGUGAGCUUCCUGCCCAUGCAGCGGACCGUGGAGGAUGCUUUUCCUCACCCACGCACUCACCAUGCUGCAUGCUCUUCGUGCCUUCCUGAGGAUCCAAGCUCCUGUCUGGCAUCAUCUUCCUUCAGCCUGAAGAACUUUGGAAUUAGUGUUUUCCUGUAUGUAAAGUGACAUUUUGCUGUAGCUGCUUUCAGAUUUUUUUGUGUUUGGUUCUUCACAGCUUGACUCUCAUGUGCCCAGGCAUAGUUUACUUUGUAUUUAUUCUGUUUACUGAUCUUCUCGUAUCUAUAAAUGGCUUUCACCAAAUGUGGGAAAUUUUCAACCAUAAUUUCAAAUAUUUUUUUC